rnacentral:rRNA from 1 species
AGAGUUGAUUAUGGCUCAGGAUGAACGCUAGCGGCAGGCUUAACACAUGCAAGUCGAGGGGCAGCGGGAUGUAGCAAUACAUUGCCGGCGACCGGCGGAUGGGUGCGUAACGCGUAUGCAACCUACCUUAUACAGGGGAUAACCUUUCGAAAGGGAGACUAACACCCCAUAGUAUUGAUUUAAGGCAUCUUAGAUUAAUUAAAUAUUUAUAGGUAUAAGAUGGGCAUGCGUAUGAUUAGCUAGUUGGUAAGGUAACGGCUUACCAAGGCGACGAUCAUUAGGGGUUCUGAGAGGAAGGUCCCCCACACUGGUACUGAGACACGGACCAGACUCCUACGGGAGGCAGCAGUGAGGAAUAUUGGUCAAUGGGCGCAAGCCUGAACCAGCCAUGCCGCGUGCAGGAAGACGGCCUUAUGGGUUGUAAACUGCUUUUACAUAAGACUAACCGUAUAUUUGCGAAUAUACCUGAAUGUAUUAUGAGAAUAAGGAUCGGCUAACUCCGUGCCAGCCGCCGC